GGUGUCAGCCGUCAUUAGCUAAAGAAAAGUAGAUCUAGCCUAGCUCGUCUUUUGGUUGUUCAUUGAUAUGCCAAAUAUUAAAGAUUUCUAAUAGAAAGUGCAUAGAUGAUGCAUUCAAGUGAAGACAAAAACAAUGUGGACAUCAAAAGAAGACAACACUCGAACAACUACCGUUGAAGGAGUAGCUGAAUGAAGUAUUUGGCAAAUUAGUGACAUAUAAUCUAGGCAAACCCUAAAGAAGCAGGGAGGGGUGCGUUGAAGGAUAGGAAGAAGUGCAGAAUCACACUACCACUUGUGGAACUUGUUUCCCUCGGAAAGUCGUUUUUUUAAAAAGAAACUUGUGUUUCUAAAGAAAAUAUUUUAAAAUUGAACCAAAUAUGAAAAAUUAUGUGAUUAAAAAAAAUUAUAAACACAAAAAAAAAAUUUCAUCUUCCGCCGCCCACCGUUGCAUGGCCAAUAAAGUUUUUUGUCCGAAACUCCUUAAGAACCUCGGAUUUCAUGUCCGCCGUUUAAACUCAGCUCCGUCACCUCUUUCCGCCGUCCCACCGCUAAAUUUUACUGGCGAUUUUAACGCCGUGGAACCCGCACAACAAAUUAACACAACCCUUCACCACCACCACGACCAUCACAACAUUAUCAAUUUCGAUGAUGUUAAGGAGCUUUUCUACGGUGUUCCCACCACGAAACUGAUUCGAUCUUCGAUGACGUUACAAAUGGCUGCUAUUGAUCCCAUGGUUGAUUUGGGCAUGUGGGUAAUGAAUUCUAAACUUAUGGAAAUGCCUAUUUUUAGGGAGGUUAUUCUUGGGUUUGUUAAAAAUACAUUUUAUGAACAUUUUUGCGCCGGCAAAGACUUAACGGAAGCUAGACGGACCGUUACUAAUCUAUCGGAUUCUGGGUUAAAAGCCAUGCUUGAUUAUGGGGUGGAACAUGCCACCGAUAAUGAAUCUUGUGAACAGAGUACUGCGGCGUUUAUUCAAACGAUUGAAUCAACCAAAUCACUUCCCGAAUCUUCUGCAAGUUUUGUGGUAGCAAAGAUAACUGCUAUUUGUACCCCAAGGCUUCUCAAAAGAAUGAGUGAUUUGUUAAGAUGGGAACAGAAAGAUCCAUCAUUUAAUCUUCCAUGGAAGCGAGAGUCGCUUCCCCUUUUCGCCGAAUCGAGCCCUGUUUAUCACACUUGUAGCAAACCAGAGCCUCUAUCGGUAGAGGAAGAGCGUGAUCUUCAAUUAGCUCAUGAAAGACUUAGAAAAAUUUGCGAGAAAUGUUUGGAACAUGAAGUUCCAUUACUAAUUGAUGCGGAAGACACAACCAUUCAACCUGCAAUUGAUUAUUUUGCGUAUUCAGCAGCAAUUAAGUAUCACAAAGAUGAUCAGCCUUUGAUAUUCGGAACAAUUCAAGCUUACUUGAAGGACGCCAAGGAACGAAUGGUUAUUGCGAAAAAGGCUGCAGAGAAAAUGGGAGUUCCAAUGGGAUUUAAGCUUGUGAGGGGCGCUUAUAUGUGUAGUGAAAAGGAAUUGGCUUCUACAUUAGGAUUCAACUCUCCAAUUCACGACAGCAUUGAGCAAACACACGCUUGCUUCAAUUCGUGCGCGGAGUUUAUGAUUGAAGAGAUUGCUAAUGGUUCUGGUGCAGUUGUUCUCGCCACUCAUAACAUUGAAUCAGGAAAACUUGCUGCAACCAAAGCUAUAGAUUUGGGAAUAAAAGAUGAGAGACAAAAUCUCCAAUUUGCUCAGCUAUAUGGUAUGGCAGAUGGGCUUUCAUUUGGGCUGAGAAAUGCAGGAUUUCAAGUAAGCAAAUAUUUACCAUUUGGUCCUGUAGAGCAGAUUAUGCAUUACCUUAUGAGGCGUGCUGAAGAAAACAGAGGCAUGCUGUCUACAUCGGCAUUCGACAGACAACUCAUGAGGAAGGAAUUGAGCAGGAGAUUCGAAGUGGCUACUUCUUAAAUUCAUAUUCAGAAUAUGAAAUCUAUAUUAGUAAGUAAGAAAUAAUAAACGAGGAAACAUCGCCGACUACUGUAAAUAAUUCAAUGAUGUGAGGGCAAAAAUUGAUGAGGAUGAUCAAAGCAACCUGGAUGGGUAAAAUGCAUGAGGAGGAAGUCAGUUUUUAUCUUUGUGUGUGUUAUGAAAAAUAAAAAAAUUGUACAUAUUUAUUUUAGGUCCACUACUUGUAUCUUUCUCCAUGUGCUAUUUUUUAGGUUCUAUUAUAUUUACUAUAUAAUGUACUAGUUCCUUAAGUUGGUUUUUAUUUGGUAUCGUGUUUUAGAAAUAGAAAUGGAAGAAGGUAUUCCCAGAGUGGAGCCAAAAUGUCGAAAUUACAAAGUGUGUAUCAGUUUCUCUCUCUCUAUCGAGACAUUAUGAAAUAAAUCGGAUUUAUU
rnacentral:misc_RNA from 1 species